rnacentral:rRNA from 1 species
GACGUAGGGCGCGGGCGUGUCCGGAUUUAUUGGGCGUAAAGAGCUCGUAGGCGGCUUGUCGCGUCGACUGUGAAAUCCCGCGGCUCAACUGCGGGUCUGCAGUCGAUACGGCAGGCUGGAGUGCGGUAGGGGAGAUCGGAAUUCCUGGUGUAGCGGUAGAAAAUGCGCAGAUAUCGGGAGGAACACCAGUGGCGAAGGCGGCUUCUGGCCAUCAACUGACGCUGAGUACGCGAAAGCGUGGGGAAGCAACAGGGAGUAAGAAACCUUAUAACCGUUCGAAGCAGCAACCAA